AUUCUCCAGAUUUUAAACUUACAAAAUUUCAAUCUUCUUUAUUCUCGCCCUUUUUUUUUCUCGAAUCGAGGGUCAAAAUGCGAUUUGUAAUAACUAUUUUUAUGGUCCAAUCUUUCCUUUCUAUCUGCUUGGCUUUAAACAUAAAACAAAAUCAAUUCGAGAUCUUUGCAGAAAAUCGUAUUUCGAACGAGACACCAUUGAGAAACUUCAAUAGUGUUGGAUUCAUAAUGUGUGCAAGGGAAUGUGCCAGAGACGAUCGAUGUUUGGCUUUUAACUUUCGAAAGUCCAGUUCAGGAUGCGAUCUUUUAUCAGCCGUGUCAAGUGAUCCACUCUCCUAUGACGAAUCACCUGGAAAUAACAUCUAUAAGAAGAUUACCGUUUAACCAUUGUUUCUUGCACUGACCAACGAAUGGCUAUGUGAGAAUACAUAAUCUGAUCCAGUUCUGGACCAUAGUUUACGAUUGCACAUGAAUCACCGGAUGAUGAUGAUGAUGUUUUGAAGACAAUACCGAUAAUAAGAAAUAAAAAAAAUAACCCACAUCACCACUGCACCUGCCAGAAUCUCGUUAUGUUAAUCAUAAUGUAAGAUUUAUAUAUUCAAUAAAUCAUGUUGAUAUACUAAACAUCAUGUGUAUUAUUGUUAUUAUUAUGUUCAAUAAAUCAUGUUGAUAUACUA